rnacentral:sRNA from 1 species
GCGCCUGCGGCGGGUCAGGCAGGCUGAAUACGGUACUUCGCAGGCAGUCUCAGCUUGUACGGCCUUGUACAUCCAAUAAUUUAUUGGAUUUAACUUUUUC